GCUCGGUUAGCUCAGCUGGUUAGAGCGUCGUACUAAUAUUCGCAAGACUGCCUUGCUGAAUAUCAAGUAAUGCGAAGGUCAUGAGUUCAAUCCUCAUACUGAGCA